rnacentral:rRNA from 1 species
GACGAACGCUGGCGGCGUGCUUAACACAUGCAAGUCGAACGGAAAGGCCCUGCUUUUGUGGGGUGCUCGAGUGGCGAACGGGUGAGUAACACGUGAGUAACCUGCCCCUGACUUUGGGAUAACUUCAGGAAACUGGGGCUAAUACCGGAUAGGAGCUCCUGCUGCAUGGUGGGGGUUGGAAAGUUUCGGCGGUUGGGGAUGGACUCGCGGCUUAUCAGCUUGUUGGUGGGGUAGUGGCUUACCAAGGCUUUGACGGGUAGCCGGCCUGAGAGGGUGACCUGCCACAUUGGGACUGAGAUACGGCACAGACUCCUACGGGAGGCAGCAGUGGGGUAUAUUGCACAAUGGGCGGAAGCCUGAUGCAGCAACGCCGCGUGCGGGAUGACGGCCUUCGGGUUGUAAACCGCUUUCGCCUGUGACGAAGCGUGAGUGACGGUAAUGGGUAAAGAAGCACCGGCUAACUACGUG